UUGUGUACGGACUCCCGCGGCUCCUCGUGUCUCCUCCACAGACGGAAGUGAACCGUCCUGCUCAUCGUCUGAGGCGGGUUUCGAACCAUAUUCACUGUGUCCCUCUGUCAGUGAUUCACUUUGUUCACACGCGGUGUCUGGUGCUAGUUUAGCAGCUGUAGCUUCUCUCACGCCUCCUUCACUGAACAAGGUGCUUUUAUUCAAUUAGAUUCUGUGACUGAGCAACGAAGAACAAGGCUGAAGUGAGAGACAUGAGGCCCAGAGCUGGAGUGGAUGUGAGAGAGAAACCAGACGUUGGGCUUCAGUACGACUUCAAGGUAAUCCUGCCAUCACCGCUCCAUCUCCUCCACCACUGUGUGAUCAUGAUGUAGAUGAAAAAGAUGCAUAA